rnacentral:rRNA from 1 species
UACGGGGGGGGCGAGCGUUGUUCGGAAUUACUGGGCGUAAAGGGCUCGUAGGCGGCCAACUAAGUCAGACGUGAAAUCCCUCGGCUUAACCGGGGAACUGCGUCUGAUACUGGAUGGCUAGAGAUUGGGAGAGGGACGCGGAAUUCCAGGUGUAGCGGUGAAAUGCGUAGAUAUCUGGAGGAACACCGGUGGCGAAGGCGGCGUCCUGGACCAACACUGACACUGAAAAGCGAAAGCCAGGGGAGCAAACGGG